ensembl:lncRNA
GCUAGGUGAAGAGAGAAGAUGACUAGGUCUACGGAGGCCCCUGGGUGGGAAAAGUUUCCUGCUAGAGGGGGGUAUACUGUUCAACCUGUUCCAGCACCGGCUUCUACUGCGGUUGAUGCUAUUAGUAGUAGGAAAGAAGGGGGAAGGAGUCAGAAACUUAUGUUGUUUAAACGGGGGAAUGCUAUAUCAGGAGCGCCAAUUAUUAGAGGCACUAAUCAAUUUCCGAAGCCCCCGAUUAUAGCAUUCCCCAGAUUUUCUAGUCAAAUAAACACUGCCUAAAAAGGAACUGAGUCUGAUCUGGCAUUAGUUUCUAGUAAAUUUAUACUAUAAUCACUGCAUUCUUUUCUUAGAUUCAUAAAGUGUCUGUUUAUUAAUCCAUUUAAGAACUUGACCAGAGUUUGUCAUGCUCACACGUCAAUUCUAUGACUUGGAGUUUUUCUGCUCUUUGAUAUUUGCAAGAUUUCAACUUUGACACCAGGUUACUAAUGGUUUCCAAAAGAUAAUUCCCAGUGGUAAACAAUCAUAAAAGCUAUUUUUAUAUAAGUUUUUCACUGUACUGUAAUAUGAAGAUUAUUCUCUUUAACGAAAAUGACAUUAGCCAAUAGCAGAACUCCCACCCACAGAAUUGUUCAAGCAAACACUAGCUGAUUCCAUGUGAUGGAGUUAAGUACUGCCACUUUCUUUCCUUUUGCCACUUACGGAUUUUACAUUCUUUUCAAGGUAGUGUACAUCCCCCACACAAAUGUGAUAUAUUCAUUUAUUCAACAAAUGGUUAUUAAGGAAAUUUUUUGUUUGAUUACUAUGAGGUAAAUGCUGAAUUGAACACUGAGAAGACAAAAAUAAAACAAAAUCUGAGCCUGUAGAGCUGGCACUCUUCUUACCAUCACCAAACUCAUUUGAAUUAAGUAGAAGACCCGUUGUCCUAGUGCAUUGUAUGUUGCUGUAAGUGAAUACCUGAAACUGGGUAAUUUGUAAAGGACAGAAAUUUAGUUCUCACAGCUGUAGAGGCUGGGCAGUUCAAGAUCAAGAUACCAGCAGUUCAGUGUCUGGUGAGGGCUGCUCUCUGCUUCCAUGAUGGCCUUUGAAUGCUACAUUCUCUGGAGGGGCAUUGUGUUCUCCCAUAGCAGUACGUGGAGGGGCAAAAAGCCCUUUUAUAAUGGCAUUAAUCCAUCAUGAGGGAAGACCCUUGUGACUUAAACACCUCCCGAAAGGCCCCACCUGCCAACCCUGUUGCAUUGGAGAUUACGUUUUCAACAUACGAAUUUAGGGGGACACAUUGAGACCAUAACACCCAUUAAACACAAAUGUUUCCUAAAAGCGUAUUUUUAAGUUAAAUUAAUCAGAAUGAAAGUAUGAUGACAAAGGAUCAGAUAUUCUACAACAGUGUUUCUCAGAGCCUUUUAACAUGCUGAUAUGCAUUGUGAAUAUGUCAGAGCAGAAGAGAAUAUAUAAUGCUUGCCAAAUUUACACGGCCUUAAAAUCCCCCUUUCCUCCUUGAGACCUAUUAAAAGAGUAGGAUUUUGCAGAAAGAAUUGGCUGGGAAAUGAUGGGAAUAAGGAGAAAUGUGUCUUUAGCACUGUGCUAUCUCUUAUUCUGUCAUCAUCGCAGAGGCGCUCAAAGGUAAUUCCAAGGUAAAUAAUGAAUAAGUGAAUGAGCGAACAAUAUAGACCAUAUGCAAGAAAGAACCAACUUUACAUAAAGAUCUUAUAGAAGACAUAGAAAUAUGUACAUAAACAUCUUAUAGAAGAAAUAGGAAUAUGUUUUUUAUACUUAUAUGAGUAGUUUAGAAUGUACCCUAUACAUAUGUACAGUGAUUCUCAGACUCAGGAGUGCCUGUAUACAAAUUAGAUGGAGAAAUUUUGCAUCUGUAUGACCUAAUGUUUCCAUUGCUCAGACAUCUUUUUCUUUUAUAAAAUUUUGAACUCUUCAAAUAAAGCUCAAUGCCAUUCCUCAAAGCAGUGAUUCUCAAACUUUAAUCUACAAAUCAUCUAUAUCAAAACUCUUUGGAUGCUCAUUAAAAAUUGUGAAUUUCUUAACCCUACAAAAACGGUAUCCCAAAAUAUGCAUUUUUUAAAAAGGAUGGUUUUAAUGAUUCAUAUGCACAAU